rnacentral:rRNA from 1 species
UACGUAGGUGGCGAGCGUUGUCCGGAUUUACUGGGCGUAAGGGGAGCGUAGGCGGACUUUUAAGUGAGAUGUGAAAUACCCGGGCUUAACUUGGGUGCUGCAUUUCAAACUGGAAGUCUAGAGUGCAGGAGAGGAGAAUGGAAUUCCUAGUGUAGCGGUGAAAUGCGUAGAUAUUAGGAGGAACACCGGCGGCGAAGGCGGCUUUCUGGCUGACAACUGACGCUGAGGCGCGAAAGCGUGGGGAGCAAACAGGAUUAGAUACCCUGGUA